rnacentral:piRNA from 1 species
UCACUUAAGCCUGGUAUCCAUACCCAU